rnacentral:lncRNA from 1 species
CGGGUCAAAACUUUAAAAGUUCAAAUUAAGAACCCCUUAUUGAAAAUUACAUUUUAACCCAUAACUGAAACCAUUAACAAACCAAGAAAUAAAAACCCACAUAACGGAGGAAAACGGGAUAAAACUGCCGAAGAGUCAUCAGAAUGAUCCAAUCUUCACAUAAUGAGUAUCAAGAAAACACCAUAAACCAAAAGAUUCUUGGAAUGAUUCCUGGAAAUCACGAUAUCUUCACAUUAGAAUUAAAAGGGAUGAACGAGAAAAACAAUGUUUCUCCGAAAAAUACUUGAAUUUGCGAGGGGAAAAAAAAUCCGUCACACGAUUCCCGCCAUCGAAAUUUACGAUUCCCAAUCCCACAGGCUCUCACAUUGAGAAAAAGCACUCCUGGUCUCCUCCUCUUUUUUUUUUUUUUGUUGUUAUAUCAAAACUUCAUUUAGCGAUUUGAGAAAUAGAGAGGUGAGAGAGGCAGUGUUUUGCUCAUUGGGUUUCCUGACUUAGUUCUGGAAAACUGUGGGAUUUUGGAUUUCUGUAGAAUUGGGUUUUGAUGGCUUACGUUUGUUAUUUUUUUUUUUUUUCACAGC